rnacentral:lncRNA from 1 species
GCCAUACUGGAUGGUGUAUUUCGGGAAGAAAGGGAAAACUGCUCACCUGCUGCAUUCCUGCACUCUCCUUUGUGCUGGGAAUGAACAUCGUCAUCUUGCCAUAGAGCUGUCUUCUUUGCAGACACCUUAUAAUUGCUCAGCUGGUCUAGGGUUCAGGGAAAGAAAGCCUCUGUAUAGAAGUCAAGUUUCAGAGCUGGGCGUGGUAGUUCAUGCUUGCAAUCCCAGCACUUUGGGAUUACAGGCAUGAGCUACUGCGCCCGGCCUGCUAAUAUUCUUUAACCUGAAUUCUCCACUACAAUUAACUGACCUACUGGGGCUCUUGAACAGAGUUCUAAUCCCUGCUCUGUCAUUAACUUGCUGUCUGACAAAUGAUCUCUUCCUUUUGGCUCUGGGUCUGCUCACUCACAAAUUAGGGAUGGUACUGGGAUGAGACGGGGUGGACCCCUCUCCUAGGUCCUUUUCAGAUCUAACAUUCUGUCAAUCUGUGACCAGAUGAGGUCGAAGGGCCUUCCUUUCCAACUCUACACUUUGAUCAGCAAUUUACAUUUUCAUGGGUUUGGUCUUGUUUCUCCAAUUGUUCUUGAGCUUAUUAAAGACAAGUCUAUCUCUUUGUAUUCCCUCAAGAAUAUCCUGCUGGAAUUAUGACCCCAAAAAUGUAUGCUGAUUUUCUGGGUUAUUAUUUAAUUGCCUUAAUAAUUAAUAAUGCUAUGCCUUAAUAAUUUCUCUAUUCUUAUUAUCUGAAAUAGGUCGAUUAACCCAGUUUCUUUUAGGACAAGGAAUAGGAAUUGCAAUGCUUGUGCUGAAUUUCGAACAAUUGGGAACAUUUGGGAGGCUGAGGCAGGCAGAUUGCUUGAGUCUAGGAGUUCAAUACCAGACUGGGCAACAUGGCAAAAUCCCGUGUCUACAAUACAAAAAAAUUAGCUGGGCUUGGAGGUGCACACCGGUGGUCCCACUACUCAAGAAGCUGAAUUGGGAGGAUCAUGUAAACCUGGAGUUGAGGCCACAGUGAGCUAUGAUCAUACCACUGCACUCCAGCCUGAGUGACAGAAUGAAACCCUGUCUCAAAAGAAAAAAAAGAACAAUUGGGAACAAUUCUUGAUCUUAGCAUUAGGUCCUUAACAAUAUAUCUUUUUUUUUUUUUUGAGACGGAGUUUUGCUCUUGUUACCCAAGCUGGAGUGCAAUGGCGCAAUCUCGGCUCACCAAAACCUCCGCCUCCUGGGUUCAGGCAAUUCUCCUGCCUCAGCCUCCUGAGUAGCUGGGAAUACAGGCAC